UGUGUGGGUUCCUGGCAUGCUGAUUUGUGACUGUAGUGAAAAAUCACAUUGCCAGGGAUUACCACACU
ensembl:miRNA microRNA 23b